rnacentral:rRNA from 1 species
ACACAUGCAAGUCGAGCGGAGAUGAGGUGCUUGCACCUUAUCUUAGCGGCGGACGGGUGAGUAAUGCUUAGGAAUCUGCCUAUUAGUGGGGGACAACAUUCCGAAAGGAAUGCUAAUACCGCAUACGCCCUACGGGGGAAAGCAGGGGAUCUUCGGACCUUGCGCUAAUAGAUGAGCCUAAGUCGGAUUAGCUAGUUGGUGGGGUAAAGGCCUACCAAGGCGACGAUCUGUAGCGGGUCUGAGAGGAUGAUCCGCCACACUGGGACUGAGACACGGCCCAGACUCCUACGGGAGGCAGCAGUGGGGAAUAUUGGACAAUGGGCGGAAGCCUGAUCCAGCCAUGCCGCGUGUGUGAAGAAGGCCUUUUGGUUGUAAAGCACUUUAAGCGAGGAGGAGGCUACUUAGAUUAAUACUCUAGGAUAGUGGACGUUACUCGCAGAAUAAGCACCGGCUAACUCUGUGCCAGCAGCCGCGGUAAUACAGAGGGUGCGAGCGUUAAUCGGAUUUACUGGGCGUAAAGCGUGCGUAGGCGGCUGAUUAAGUCGGAUGUGAAAUCCCUGAGCUUAACUUAGGAAUUGCAUUCGAUACUGGUCAGCUAGAGUAUGGGAGAGGAUGGUAGAAUUCCAGGUGUAGCGGUGAAAUGCGUAGAGAUCUGGAGGAAUACCGAUGGCGAAGGCAGCCAUCUGGCCUAAUACUGACGCUGAGGUACGAAAGCAUGGGGAGCAAACAGGAUUAGAUACCCUGGUAGUCCAUGCCGUAAACGAUGUCUACUAGCCGUUGGGGCCUUUGAGGCUUUAGUGGCGCAGCUAACGCGAUAAGUAGACCGCCUGGGGAGUACGGUCGCAAGACUAAAACUCAAAUGAAUUGACGGGGGCCCGCACAAGCGGUGGAGCAUGUGGUUUAAUUCGAUGCAACGCGAAGAACCUUACCUGGGCCUUGACAUAGUAAGAACUUUCCAGAGAUGGAUUGGUGCC